rnacentral:rRNA from 1 species
UACAGAGGGGGCAAGCGUUGUUCGGAAUUACUGGGCGUAAAGGGCGCGUAGGCGGCCUUCUAAGUCGAACGUGAAAUCCCCGGGCUCAACCCGGGAACUGCGUCCGAUACUGGAAGGCUUGAAUCCGGGAGAGGGAUGCGGAAUUCCAGGUGUAGCGGUGAAAUGCGUAGAUAUCGUAAGGAAGACCAGUGGCGAAGGCGGGUCUCUGGACAGUUCCUGACGCUGAGGCACGAAGGUCAGGGGGAGCAAAACGGG